rnacentral:misc_RNA from 1 species
AACGCAGAUUGCGCUUUCGGGAUAGGCCUGAAAGCACGCCUCUUUGAGUAUCGAUUCAACCUCUGCUCGACGGCGUUCUUACCUUGUGUGAGCAACGUGCAGUCGGCUGGUAGUGAGUUUCGCACCUGCAUGGGUGCGUGACUUGAAGCAUCGACAGUUUAGUCGUUCCUGCUGAGAACAACAUCUGUCGAAACACGCUGAGCAAUGCGGUCAGUUUCUGCCUGUCACAAGGCGAAUCGAUGCAUUGGUGCGGCGCGUUUCGGUGAGUUGUUCGCUUGAAGCAGUCGAACACGUAUUUCGGCUUGUUCGCAAGUGUUCUGAAAUACGCCUGGUGACUAACCACUUUGAUUAAGAUCUCAAAUGAAGCGAGGAAACCCGCCGAACUUAA